rnacentral:lncRNA from 1 species
GUCUCCUCUGUUUCCACCUGCAGGAAACAGAGGUGCUGCAGCCCUAGCUGUUGUAGCUCUCUCUCUUUCCUCUCCCUCUUCCCUCUCUUCUUCUUCUUCUUUUCUUCUCUUCUCCCUCUUCUUCCUCUCUUCUUUUCCCCCCUCUUCUUCUUUUCUUCUCUUCUUCCUCUACUUCUCCCCACGCCCCACCGCUCCUCUCUCUGUUUCUCGAGAAAUAGAGAGCGUGGGAGGCAGUGGGAUAAAACCGAAAUUUUUGGUUUUCUCUUUUUAUUUUUUUUUUUGUAACUUAACAGUUUAGUCCUUGAAAUUUCUAUAUUUACAUAUAGGUCUUUCGAUUUAUAAAUAAAUCUUUAUUAAUAAUUUUUAAAAGUGAGGGAUAUUACACUCUCCCCCCCUUAAAAGAAAAUUUAGUCCUCUAAAUUGGUCAUAGCUCAAUCGAUGAAAAGAUAAUGAAUAUGAUUUCUUUAUUUCCUCCUCCUGCUCUCAAAUAGUUUCAUCAAUACAAUAUAAUUACACAAUUAUCCAAGAGUGACCAAAAUAUUCUCCUCCUUGAUCCUCAAUAGAUGGUAACCCGACCUUCAAUCAAUCUUUGAAAAUACUUGUGCACCCUACAGUUGACCAAACAAAUAAUCAAUUCUGGGUAUGGGAUACUUGCUUUUGAUGGUCACCCGAUUCAAUUGUCUAAAAUUAUUAUAAAGUCUCAAUGUUUCAUCCAUCUUUAUAACUAACACCGGAGCACCCCAUGAUGAAAUAUUAAGCCAAAUAAAAUUCUUAUUUAAUAGUCCUUGUAGUUGCUUUUCUAAUUCCACUUACUCAAAUGAUGUCAUUCUGUAGAGAGGCUUAGAUAUUGAGAUUGUCCCAAAGACCAAAUCAAAAGCAAAGUCACGUUUUAGAGGUAAUUUGGGCAAAUCAUCCUGGGAUAAUUAGGCGAAGAUAAAUCAUGUCCAAUACUCUCAAAAUAAAAGAUCGGCUGAUUAAAUAUGCAAAAAGUGAUCAUUUGUUAUAUAACAAUCUAUACUGGUAUGAUAAGAAGAUAGCCAAUCCAUACCAAGUAUAAUAUCAAAACUCUAAAUCUCUAGGAGAACUAAAUCAGCAAAAAGUUCAAGUUCUCCAAUAAAAUCAGACAAGAGACUAUAUUCAAGUUCGUUAUCAAAGAAUCUCCAAUGAUUAUAUUUACAUAUAUUACAUAAUACAGUGGUUUAGGGUGAAUGCCCAAGUGAUCUACAUUUGCUUUUGGGUGCCUCAAAAAUAGAUCUACAUUGUUUAUCAUGUUGCAUAGAAUUUAUCAUGGUUCCUUUAGGAAUCCAAAUUAAUUUGUCUGGACUAAUUUUCUUGAAUGGACAAUAAUACGUUUUGUGUCCAAGUUUGCAACAAAAGUUGCAUUUGCUUUGGUGUCGAACAUGUAAGAUGGGGCCUUUUAUGAAGGUGGUUGGAUUUUAGUGAGGACUUCUCACAAAUCCGAUUCCACUUCUUUUGGGAAUGUGACCCUUGUUUGCAAGGAUCAUGUUCAAUGACUUGCUACCAACCUCGAAUUUCUUCAAGGUGUCCUUAAGUAGCAAGUUUUCCUUUUGAAGAGUUUCUAGAUCAUGGCAUUUUGUGCAUGAACUUAAACUAUCAUGAUAUUCAGUUUUUAACUUAUCAAAAUUACAAGUAAGACUAUCAUGCACCUUUUUUAGCAAUUUAUAUUUUCUACUAAUAAUCUUGCAUUCAUCAAAUAAGUCAUGGAACGCAUUUAAUAAUUCAUCAAAUGAUAAAUCUGCAUCUAUGAAAUUCGUUACCUCCUCUCCGAUGGCCAUUAAGGCGUAAUGAGCAACUUGCUCGGUGUUGGACUCCUCUUCUUCUGACGCGCUUGAGUCAUCCCAUGUUGCUUUGAGCGCCUUCUUCUUUGAUGUUCUCUUCUUGACUUGGGGACAAUCACUCUUGUAGUGUCCCGGCUUCUUGCACUCAUAGCAAAUAACUUGGUCCUUCUUGGGUUCAAAUUUAUUUUUUGUUUCAUUCUUAAACUUGUUUCUUUUAAUGAAUUUUUUAAAUUUUCUUAUUAGAAGUGCCAAGUCAUCAUCACAGUCCUCAUCACUUGAGUUUUCUCUCAAGUGGUCUUCUGAAAUUUUAAGUGACAUAUCCUUCCUGUUCUUUGGAAGGAUGUCUUCUUGCUCUUCAUGAGCUUUGCAAGUCAUCUCGUAGGUUAUUAAUGACCCGAUUAGUUCUUGAAGAGGGAAGUUGUUUAGAUCUUUCGCCUCUUGAAUAGUAGUGACUUUAGGAUCCCAACUCUUAGGAAGGGAUCUUAGAAUCUUAUUUACGAGCUCAAAAUCUGAAAAACUUUUUCCGAGUCCUUUUAGACAGUUGACGACAUCCGUGAAACGGGUAAACAUGUCGCCAAUAGUCUCACUCGGUUUCAUUCGGAAAAGUUCGAAAGAGUGUAACAAAAGGUUGAUUUUUGACUCUUUCACUCUACUUGUACCUUCGUGAGUCACUUCGAGUGUGUGCCAAAUAUCAAAUGCGGUUUCACAAACCGAAACACGGUUGAACUCGUUUUUAUCAAGUGCACAAAAUAAGGCAUUCAUAGCCUUUGCAUUAAGAGCGAAAGCCUUCUUCUCCAAUUCAUUCCAAUCGAUCAUUGGAAGAGAAGACUUCGAAAAUCCAUUUUCGACAAUAUUCCAAAGUUCAAAAUCCAUAGAAACAAGAAAGAUCCUCAUUCGGGUCUUCCAAUAGGUGUAGUCCGUCCCAUUGAACAUGGGUGGACGUGUAAUAGAGUAGCCCUCUUAGUUUCCGGCGUAUGCCAUCUCUCUUGGGUUUUAAUCCGUUUGCGAGUUAACCCCACUCUGAUACCAAUUAUUUGGAUCAAGAGCACUAAGAGGGGGGGGGGGUGAAUUAGUGUAGCGGAAAUCUUUCGACGAUAAAAAUGUUUGAACGAUAAAAAAUGAUUUCGAUGUGAAAGCCGAUUCUAAGAUUACUUUAACUUAAGAUCAAGCGAGAUGAUGUUAAAGUCAAUCUAUGAAGGUAGUUUGCAGUUAUGAUGAAAAGCAGAAUAUGAGCGCAAACUGAAAUAUGACGUUCGUACGAAGAAACUGAUUUACGUCUAAAUGCUGAUUCGUAAAUCACUUGAUUAGGUGAGAUGCAGCUUAAGCAAGGAUAUUAAGGUAGUUUGCAGUUAAGAUAGAAAUCAAAAUGUAAACGCAAACUGAAAUAUGAUGAUCGUACGAAAAAAUAGAUUUACGUCUAAACGCUAAUUCGGAAAAUACAAAGCUAAAACCCGAUCGUAUACGCACAGAAAGCAGUAAGGAGGUUUGCAGUAAAGAUAAAAUGCUCAAAGUAAAUGCAAACCGAGAUUUAGAGUGGUUCGGUCAAUCUUGACCUACUCAACUUUUGGCUUCCUCCACCGACGAGGUCACCGACGUCAACUAGAGGCCUUCCUUCAAUAGGCGAAGGCCAACCACCCUUUUAUAGUUUCACUCCUUUUGACGGGCUUAGGAGACAACCCUUACAAAAUUUUCUCUCCUCUCCUCUCUUUACAUCUCAGAACUUGGAAGAAAAGAGGGAGACGGACUUUUGGCCUUUACAACAAUUUUGAGCUCUAAAAAUCACAUAACAAGAUCAAGAUUUCGGUGUGUAUUCUCUAUGCUUUUAGUGCUGAAUGGGUUGGGUAUUUAUAGGCCCCAACCCAGUUCAAAUUUGGAGCUCAAAACUAUCAAUUCCCGGAAUUCCGGGAUCAGGCAGUUGCACCUCCUGACUGGAGCGGUUGCACCACGUCGAUCAUCUGAUGAACCCUCGGUGAUACUCCUACGGACUUCCGGCAAACUCCUGGACUUGCGAUGAUCCACUUGGCGAGUUCCGACGAGCUUCUUUGGCAAGCUCAUGGACUUCUGUCGAACUCUCGAACUCCCAGAUCAGACCCUAGCAUAGUGCAUCUGAGGCGUAGCCCAGUGGUGGCUCCACGUCGUGACGAGUCAUGGACUUCUCGGAUUUGUUCCCGCAGAACCUCCGACGACUGUCUGAACUUCUGUCGAACUCUCGAACUCCCAGAUCAGACCCUAGCAUAGUGCAUCUGAGGCGUAGCCCAGUGGUGGCUCCACGUCGUGACGAGUCAUCUGACUCAGUCUACGGGUAGCCCUUUCCUACUCGAGCCCCCUAACUGGCCUAUCAAUUUCGUUUGGUCUAAACCACUAACCAAAAUGCUUAAGUUGAAGUUGAUAGUAGUACACUCAUCAGACCCUUAUAAGCCAAUCUUAAUCUUGCCCACUUUCGAUGUGGGACUAAUCAAGGGUGUUACAGCCACGGCAACAGUCGCNNNNNNNNNNNNNNNNNNNNNNNNNNNNNNNNNNNNNNNNNNNNNNNNNNNNNNNNNNNNNNNNNNNNNNNNNNNNNNNNNNNNNNNNNNNNNNNNNNNNNNNNNNNNNNNNNNNNNNNNNNNNNNNNNNNNNNNNNNNNNNNNNNNNNNNNNNNNNNNCCUUCUCUUCUAGCUGCAGCUGCCACUGCCGCAGCUGCCUCCCCUUCUCCUCUUCCUCUCUUCUUCCCUUUUCCUUUCUCUUCUUCUUCCUUUCCCUCUCUUCUUUUCCAGCUGCACUACUGCAGUCGCAGCCUCAGCCACAACCGCAGCCUCUUCUUCCUCCCCUGCUCAUCUUCCUCUCCUUCUUCUCUUCCAACUACAGCUGCCAUCGCCGGAGCCGCAGCCCCUUCGUCCCCUUCUCUCCUUCCUCUCCUUCCCUUCUUCCUUCAUCUUCCACUUUCCCUGCCACAGCUGCAGCUACCACAGCUGCAACCGCAGCUACUUCUUUCCCUUCUCCUCUUCCUUCUCCUUCCUUUCUUCUACUUCUCUUCUUCUCCUUCCUCCCCUUCUUCUCCCCGACGAACAGCACCUCCUCUCCUUUGUUUCCUCAGGAAAUAGAGGUGCCGCCUCUUCACCCGCUUCAACUUCUUCUCUUCCUCUUCUUCUUCUUCUCCUUCUUCUCCUUCUUCUUCUCCUCUUCUUCCCUUCUCCUACCCGACACCCCACACCUUCUCACUGCAGCCCAUGCCGUAGCCAUCCUUCUUUUUUUUUUCUUUUUCUCUUCUUGUUUUUCCUCUUUUUCUUCUCCUCCUCCCCAACGCCCCACACCUCGUCUCCAUGUUUCUGCCUACAGGAAACAGAGGUGCUGCAACCCUAGCUGCUGCAGCUAUCUCUCUUUCCUCUCCCUCUUCCCUCUCUUCUUCUUCUUCUUUUCUUCUCUUCUCCCUCUUCUUCCUCUCUUCUUUUCCCCCCUCUUCUUCUUUUCUUCUCUUCUUCCUCUACUUCUCCCCAUGCCCCACCGCUCCUCUCUCUGUUUCUCGAGAAAUAGAGAGAGUGGGAGGCGGUGGGAUAAAACCAAAAUUUUUUAUUUUCUCUUUUUAUUUAUUUUUGUAACUUAACAGUUUAGUCCUUGAAAUUUUUAUAUUUACAUAUAGGUCCUCCGAUUUAUAAAUAAAUCUUUAUUAAUAAUUUUUAAAAGUGAGG